ACUCCUACGGGAGGCAGCAGUGGGGAAUAUUGCACAAUGGGCGCAAGCCUGAUGCAGCAACGCCGCGUGAGGGACGACGGCCUUCGGGUUGUAAACCUCUUUUAGUAGGGAAGAAGCGAAAGUGACGGUACCUGCAGAAAAAGCACCGGCUAACUACGUGCCAGCAGCCGCGGUAAUACGUAGGGUGCAAGCGUUAUCCGGAAUUAUUGGGCGUAAAGAGCUCGUAGGCGGUUUGUCGCGUCUGCUGUGAAAACUGGAGGCUCAACCUCCAGCCUGCAGUGGGUACGGGCAGACUAGAGUGCGGUAGGGGAGAUUGGAAUUCCUGGUGUAGCGGUGGAAUGCGCAGAUAUCAGGAGGAACACCGAUGGCGAAGGCAGAUCUCUGGGCCGUAACUGACGCUGAGGAGCGAAAGCAUGGGGAGCGAACAGGAUUAGAUACCCUGGUAGUCCAUGCCGUAAACGUUGGGAACUAGAUGUAGGGUCCAUUCCACGGAUUCUGUGUCGCAGCUAACGCAUUAAGUUCCCCGCCUGGGGAGUACGGCCGCAAGGCUAAAACUCAAAGGAAUUGACGGGGGCCCGCACAAGCGGCGGAGCAUGCGGAUUAAUUCGAUGCAACGCGAAGAACCUUACCAAGGCUUGACAUAUACCGGAAAAGUUCAGAAAUGUUCUCCCCGCAGGUCGGUAUACAGGUGGUGCAUGGUUGUCGUCAGCUCGUGUCGUGAGAUGUUGGGUUAAGUCCCGCAACGAGCGCAACCCUCGUUCUAUGUUGCCAGCACGUAAUGGUGGGAACUCAUAGGAGACUGCCGGGGUCAACUCGGA
rnacentral:rRNA from 1 species